rnacentral:rRNA from 1 species
AGAGUUUGAUCAUGGCUCAGGAUGAACGCUGGCGGCGUGCCUAAUACAUGCAAGUCGAGCGGCAGCACGGUCUUCGGACUGGUGGCGAGCGGCGGACGGCUGAGUAACGCGUAGGAAUAUACCCCAAAGUGAGGGAUAACUGCCCGAAAGGGUGGCUAAUACCGCAUGUGGUCUUCGGACUAAAGCCUUCGGGCGCUUUGGGAAUAGCCUGCGUAAGAUUAGCUAGUUGGCGAGGUAAUGGCUCACCAAGGCGACGAUCUUUAGCUGGUCUGAGAGGAUGACCAGCCAGACUGGAACUGAGACACGGUCCAGACUCCUACGGGAGGCAGCAGUAGGGAAUUUUCCACAAUGGGCGAAAGCCUGAUGGAGCAACGCCGCGUGCAGGAUGAAGGCCCUCGGGUCGUAAACUGCUUUUAUGUGCGAAGAAUAUGACGGUAACACAUGAAUAAGGGUCGGCUAACUACGUG